rnacentral:ncRNA from 2 species
UACUUAUCAAGAGAGGUGGAGGGAAAAGGCCCGAUGAAACCCGGCAACCAGUGAAAUCACUAAGGUGCCAAUUCCUGCGAUUUAAUUUGCAAGAUAAGGG